rnacentral:tRNA from 1 species
AACAUAGAAGUAAAAUUUACAUUUAGUUUCGACCUAAAAUUUAAGGUAAUAACCUCAUGUUU